rnacentral:rRNA from 1 species
UACAGGGGGGGCAAGCGUUGUUCGGAAUUACUGGGCGUAAAGGCUCGUAGGCGGCCAACUAAGUCACACGUGAAAUCCCCAGGCUCAACCCCGGGAACUGCGUCCGAUACUGGAAGGCUUGAAUCCGGGAGAGGGAUGUGGAAUUCCAGGUGUAGCGGUGAAAUGCGUAGAUAUCUGGAGGAACACCGGUGGCGAAGGCGACAUCCUGGACCGGUAUUGACGCUGAGGCGCGAAAAGCCAGGGGAGCAAACGGG